rnacentral:lncRNA from 1 species
GGCAUUCAAAGGCUGAAGGGCCACCUGACACUCCAGAGGCUGCUGGAAAUGCAGGGCUGUUUCAUCCUGGGUAUUUUCCAGAGAGAAGUACUGAGAAGCUUAAAGUAUUUGAAUGGGAGGAGGAGAAGCAAACUACAGCUACUUCAGAGGAUAACACUAAACACCUAGUCCACUCUGUAUACACUAGAGGUGCUGUUAAUUUUCUUGUGGAGAAGGAACUGUCUUUAGAAAAAUAUCUCAAAAAGCCACUGAAGUAGAAAGUUUCAGCAUGCUGAAGAUGGAACUUGAGAAGAUAGAAAGUUCUGGGUCCUUAGUGGCAUGACUGAGUCGCUGGACCACUGUUGGAACCACCCUAUGUCUUAGUUUUUAAAUCUCUUUACUGUCUAAGACAUUUUUAGUGGAAGUAUUUAUCUCUGGCAUCCAAUAAGACCUUUAAGGAUUUGCAGUUUUA